AUAGCGUAUAUUAAAGUUGUUGCGGUUAAAAAGCUCGUAGUUGGAUUUCUGUCGAGGAUGGCCGGUCCGCACUUUGUGCGUGCAUCUGGUUCAGCCUUGGCAUCCUCCUGGGGAACGUAUCUGCGCUUAAUUGCGUGGUGCGGUAUCCAGGACUUUUACUUUGAGGAAAUUAGAGUGUUCACGGCAGGCAAACGCCUUGAAUACAUUAGCAUGGAAUAAUAAUAUAGGACCUUGGUCCCAUUUUGUUGGUUUCUGGAACUGAGGUAAUGAUUAAUAGGGAUAAUUGGGGGCAUUCGUAUUAACGUGUCAGAGGUGGAAUUCUUGGAUUACGUUACGACGAACUACUGCGAAAGCAUUUGCCAAGGAUGUUUUCAUUGAUCAAGAACGAAAGUUCGGGGAUCGAAGAUGAUUAGAUACCAUCGUAGUCCGAACCAUAAACUAUGCCAACUAGAGAUGGGCGAUCGUUAUUUUAUUGACUUCGUCCGCACCUUAUGAGAAAUCAAAGUCUUUGGGUUCCGGGGGGAGUAUGGUCGCAAGGCUGAAACUUAAA
rnacentral:rRNA from 1 species